AUGGUAAGCCGAGGAGGAGGAGCCGUGCGGUCGUUGCUGGAUCGUCUGCGCCCGCCGCCGAGGGGGAGGAGGAGCCCCGCCAUGCCGCCGCCCGCCGCCGCCGCCGCCGCCGCUGCCAAAGGCGCCUGCUUUUGCAGCUUUAGCCACUCGGGCGCGCACGGCGAGGGGCGGAGGAAGGGCCUCCUGGAUUUGGGCGCCGGCCGGAGGUUCGCGCCGGGCAGCGCGCUGAGCCUGAAGGGAUGCCUGGACUGGCAGGAUGGCGGCAGGUUCAGGAGGGCGGAUGGUGGUGAUGGCGAUGCGGUGGAGAUCAGGGCGCGGGUCCUUGCCCCGCAGCGGCAGUUCGUCCGUGAUGCGGAAGUUCAGCUGUCGGAGGAGGUUGGCGUGAAGAGUGUGGAUGGAAAUGGCGCUUUCCGGCGGGGGAAGCGCCUCGAUUUUCCUGAGCAGCCUGUCCCGACUAAGAUGGUGGUUGCUGUUGAUGUGGAUGAAGUUCUUGGAAGCUUUCUUGCUGCUCUGAACAGAUUUAUUGCCGAGCGGUACUCUUGGAAUCACUCAGUAUCAGAAUACCAUGUCUAUGAGUUCUUUAGGAUAUGGAAUUGUUCUCGAGAAAAAGCUAAUCUUCUUGUCCAUGAGUUCUUUACAACCCAUUACUUUCAAGAUGGUGUCCAUCCUAUCCCAGGCGCCCGAGAUGCGCUCCAAAAUCUUUCUUCGUUCUGCAGCCUGUCUGUAGUAACAUCUCGCCAGGAUGUAAUAAAAAAUCACACAUUAGAGUGGAUCGAGAAGUUUUAUCCGGGCUUAUUUGAGCAGAUCCAUUUUGGGAACCAUUUUGCUUUGGAAGGCCAAUCAAGGCCAAAAUCAGAGAUUUGCAGAUCUUUUGGUGCUCAGGUUUUGAUAGAUGAUAACCCGAGAUACGCUUUAGAAUGCGCUGAGGAUGGCAUGAGGGUUCUGCUCUUUGAUUACGAUAACACGUAUCCCUGGUGCAAAACUGGUGUGGAUCAAUCACAUCCUCUGGUGACCAAGGUUCAUAACUGGCAGGAGGUUGAGCAAAAACUUCUCUCGUGGGUAGCACCUGAGAGCUGA
rnacentral:rRNA from 1 species